rnacentral:lncRNA from 1 species
UUAGUUAGUUAGUUAGUUAGUUAGUUAGUUAGUUAGUUAGUUAGUUAGUUAGUUAGUUAGUUAGUUAGUUAGUUAGUUAGUUAGUUAGUUAGUUAGUUAGUCAGUUAGUUAGUUAGUUAGUUAGUUAGUUAGUUAGUUAGUUAGUUAGUUAGUUAGUUAGUUAGUUAGUUAGUUAGUUAGUUAGUUAGUUAGUUAGUUAGU